AUUGAACGCUGGCGGCAGGCUUAACACAUGCAAGUCGAGCGGGGUGAUGGUGCUUGCACUAUCACUUAGCGGCGGACGGGUGAGUAAUGCUUAGGAAUCUGCCUAUUAGUGGGGGACAACAUCUCGAAAGGGAUGCUAAUACCGCAUACGUCCUACGGGAGAAAGCAGGGGAUCACUUGUGACCUUGCGCUAAUAGAUGAGCCUAAGUCGGAUUAGCUAGUUGGUGGGGUGAAGGCCUACCAAGGCGACGAUCUGUAGCGGGUCUGAGAGGAUGGUCCGCCACACUGGGACUGAGACACGGCCCAGACUACUACGUGAGGCAGCAGUGGGGAAUAUUGGACAAUGGGGGGAACCCUGAUCAAGCCAUGCCGCGUGUGUGAAGAAGGCCUUAUGGUUGUAAAGCACUUUAAGCGAGGAGGAGGCUCUUUUGGUUAAUACCCAAGAUGAGUGGACGUUACUCGCAGAAUAAGCACCGGCUAACUCCGUGCCAGCCGCCGCGGUAA
rnacentral:rRNA from 1 species